rnacentral:miRNA from 1 species
UGGGCCAAAAUCUUUACUGGUGUAAGUCAGCAUAGCUCUACUGAAGUCAUUGAAGCUACUCUGAUUUACACUAGAUGAGACUCUGGCCCA